rnacentral:rRNA from 1 species
GAUGAACGCUGGCGGCGUGCUUAACACAUGCAAGUCGUACGGAAGCCUGGAUACGUCUGGGCGAGAGUGGCGAACGGGUGAGUAACACGUAGGCGACCUACCCCAAAGAGGGGAAUAACUGCUGGAAACGGUAGCUAAUACCCCAUGGUUCUGGUGAUUCGGUUCAUCAGGUAAAGCUCUCGGGCGCUUUGGGAGGGGCCUGCGGCCCAUCAGGUAGUUGGUAGGGUAACGGCCUACCAAGCCGAUGACGGGUAGGGGGCGUGAGAGCGUGACCCCCCACACUGGCACUGCGACACGGGCCAGACUCCUACGGGUGGCUG